UACAGAGGGGGCCAGCGUUAUUCGGAAUUAUUGGGCGUAAAGAGCGUGUAGGCGGCCGCACAGGUCCGUUGUGAAAACUGGAGGCUCAACCUUCAGACGUCGAUGGAAACCGUGCGGCUAGAGUCCGGAAGAGGAGAGUGGAAUCCUGGUGUAGCGGUGAAAUGCGCAGAUAUCAGGAAGAACACCCGUGGCGAAGGCGGCUCUCUGGGACGGUACUGACGCUGAGACGCGAAAGCGUGGGGAGCGAACAGG
rnacentral:rRNA from 1 species